AUGGCCGCCGAGAAAUAUCCGUCAUCGGUGGAGGCUGUGGCCGGCGAGGAAUGUUCACGCGCCGCCAAAGGGCUCGACUGCUCCGAGGGAGAUAAGAAGGCGGCGGCGGCGGCCGGCAGCGAAGUAGAGGCGACUCCAGCGAAAAAGAUGUGGCGGUUGCCGCUGGAGGAGAUCGAGUGGAUCCUCGCCCAGUCGAACGAACCUGUCUGUGCUGAGUUUCGGGCCCUCAAGCGCGCCAAUCCGUCGCUGCUGCCAUCGCCUGAGGAGAAGGACGAGUCAACGGUGCUGCUGUACGCAUGUGCCCGCGACUGCUAUGAGGAUGAAGAGAAGUUCACGCGAUUCCAGGCCUGGGUCCGCAGCGAGUACAACUCCAAAGGAUUCGUGGAGGUCGACUACGACUACUUCGGUGAAAGGGCCGAGGCGACGAGGCUGAGCGAGGAAGCACGGGAGGAGGUGUUCAGAGACACGGAUCUUUCUUCAGACAGCGAGGACGGCGACGAGUUGAAGCUUCUCAAGACGACAAGCUGGGUCUGA
rnacentral:rRNA from 1 species